rnacentral:misc_RNA from 1 species
UUAAGUUCAGCGGGUAUCCCUACCUGAUCCGAGGUCAACCGGUAAAAAAUUUGGUUACGACCAGCGCCGCAUGGGCCGAUUCGAGCGGAAGAGGUUUCCCAUACGCUCGGGCACCAUGUCGGGACGCCGCCACUGCCUUUCGGGCCCGUCCACGGGGGACGAGACCCAACACACAAGCCGCGCUUGAAGGUUGCAAUGAC